rnacentral:rRNA from 1 species
ACAUCCAGAGAAUUUAGCAGAGAUGCUUUAGUGCCUUCGGGAACUCUGAGACAGGUGCUGCAUGGCUGUCGUCAGCUCGUGUUGUGAAAUGUUGGGUUAAGUCCCGNAACGAGCGCAACCCUUAUCCUUUGUUGCCAGCACGUAAUGGUGGGAACUCAAAGGAGACUGCCGGUGAUAAACCGGAGGAAGGUGGGAUGACGUCAAGUCAUCAUGGCCCUUACGAGUAGGGCUACACACGUGCUACAAUGGCGCAUACAAAGAGAAGCGACCUCGCGAGAGCAAGCGGACCUCAUAAAGUGCGUCGUAGUCCGGAUUGGAGUCUGCAACUCGACUCCAUGAAGUCGGAAUCGCUAGUAAUCGUAAAUCAGAAUGUUACGGUGAAUACGUUCCCGGGCCUUGUACACACCGCCCGUCACACCAUGGGAGUGGGUUGCAAAAGAAGUAGAUAGCUUAACCUUCGGGAGGGCGUUUACCACUUUGUGAUUCAUGACUGGGGUGAAGUCGUAACAAGGUAAGCGUAGUGCU